GGAUGCUAUCAUACCAGCAC
rnacentral:snRNA from 1 species